rnacentral:rRNA from 2 species
UGGUGGCGAUAGCGAAGAGGUCACACCCGUUCCCAUACCGAACACGGAAGUUAAGCUCUUUAGCGCCGAUGGUAGUUGGGACUUUGUCCCUGUGAGAGUAGGACGUUGCCA